GCCUUACAGGUGUUUUGUUAGAAGUAACUAGCAGAAGACAAGUAUGGGAAGAUUUUGUGAAGCUGGUCUUUGGAGCAGACCUCAGAGAGCCCUGCAGGGACCCCGGGAUCUGCAUGGGGGUGAGACCGAGAAAGGGGGUGUAUGAAGGAGAUGUGUCUAUAUCUCCUAGUCUGCGGUGAAACGCUCAACCAAGGAGCUCGGAGCACUUCCCAGCGAAAUCUUAGUCUCACCAGACCCCUGUGAGGUGGAGCCUCCCUAUGCAAGAAAGACCUGGUUCCUUAGCUUAAAAGAAGCUGAGAAAUGACCCAUUGCAGAACUGUUAAGAUGAAUCCAUCAGCCUUCAGUGAGUGCUAAAAGGUAGGGGAGGAAAUCUUUUUUUUUUUUUUUUUAAUCUUAUCAAGUCAGUGGAAUAACU